rnacentral:rRNA from 1 species
CUACGGGUUGCACCAGCCGAGAAUAUUCCGCAAUGGGCGAAAGCCUGACGGAGCGACGCCGCGUGGUUGAUGAAGUCCCUUGGGAUGUAAAAACCUUUUGUAGAGGAGGAAGUUUUGACGUUACUCUACGAAUAAGGGGUUGCUAAACUCGUGCCAGCAGCAGCGGUAAUACGAGUGCCCCGAGCGUUAUCCGGAAUCACUGGGCGUAAAGCGUGCGCAGGUGGCCGUGUGCGUCUUCUGUUAAAGCCCCGAGCUCAACUCGGGAAUCGCGGAAGAUACGACACGGCUUGAGGGCGUGAGAGGUAUACGGAACUCAUGGUGUAGGGGUGAAAUCCGUUGAUAUCAUGGGGAACACCAAAAGCGAAGGCAGUAUACUGGCGCGUUCCUGACACUCAGGCACGAAAGCGUGGGGAGCGAAUGGGAUUAGAUACCCUGGUAGUC